GCAGUCGACGAUAUAAUGGCGAACGGGUGAGUAACACGUAAGCAACCUACCCUCAAGACCGGGACAACCCCGCGAAAGCGAGGCUAAUACCGGAUGUGGUCCCCGGAAGGCAUCUUCUGGUGAUUAAAUCCCGCAAGGGGCUUAAGGAUGGGCUUGCGUCCUAUCAGCUAGUUGGUGAGGUAACGGCUCACCAAGGCAAUGACGGGUAGCUGGUCUGAGAGGACGACCAGCCACAAGGGAACUGAGAUACGGUCCCUACUCCUACGGGAGGCAGCAGUGAGGAAUUUUCCGCAAUGGGCGAAAGCCUGACGGAGCGACGCCGUGUGUGGGAUGAAGUUUUUCGGAAUGUAAACCACUGUCAGAGGGGAAGAUAUUGACGGUACCCUCAGAGGAAGGCCCGGCUAACUACGUGCCAGCAGCCGCGGUAAUACGUAGGGGCCAAGCGUUGUCCGGAAUCACUGGGCGUAAAGGGCGUGUAGGCGGCCCGGUAAGUCAGAUGUUAAAUCUACGGGCUCAACCCGUAGCCGCAUUUGAUACUGCCAGGCUAGAGAGUGCUAGAGGAAAGCGGAACUUCCGGUGUAGCGGUGAAAUGCGUAGAUAUCGGAAGGAACACCAGUGGCGAAGGCGACUUUCUGGGGCACUCCUGACGCUGAGUGCGCGAAAGCGUGGGGAGCAAACGGGAUUAGAUACCCCGGUAGUCCACGCCCUAAACGAUGAGGGCUGGGUGUCGGUAGGGUUUCCUAUCGGUGCCGAAGCUAACGCGUUAAGCCCUCCGCCUGGGGACUACGAACGCAAGUUUAAAACUCAAAGGAAUAGACGGGGGCCCGCACAAGCAGCGGAGCGUGUGGUUCAAUUCGAUGUAACACGAAGAACCUUACCAGGGCUUGACAUGUAUGUGGUAAGGGAAGUGAAAGCGGACCGACCCGCAAGGGAGCAUACACAGGUGCUGCAUGGCUGUCGUCAGCUCGUGCCGUGAGGUGUUGGGUUAAGUCCCGCAACGAGC
rnacentral:rRNA from 1 species